rnacentral:rRNA from 1 species
GAACGCUGGCGGCGUGCUUAACACAUGCAAGUCGAGCGGUAAGGCCCUUUCGGGGGUACACGAGCGGCGAACGGGUGAGUAACACGUGGGUGACCUGCCCUCAGCUCUGGGAUAAGCCCGGGAAACUGGGUCUAAUACCGGAUAUGACUCCAUGACGCAUGUUGUGGGGUGGAAAGCCUUGUGCGGCUGAGGAUGGGCCCGCGGCCUAUCAGCUUGUUGGUGGGGUGAUGGCCUACCAAGGCGACGACGGGUAGCCGGCCUGAGAGGGCGACCGGCCACACUGGGACUGAGAUACGGCCCAGACUCCUACGGGAGGCAGCAGUGGGGAAUCUUGCGCAAUGGGCGAAAGCCUGACGCAGCGACGCCGCGUGAGGGAUGACGGCCU